AGAGUUUGAUCCUGGCUCAGAAGGAACGCUGGCAGCGUGCAUAACACAUGCAAGUCGAACGGUAGUAUUGUCUUCGGAUGAUAUGAGAGUGGCGAACGGGUGAGUAACACGUAAGAAUCUACCUUUAGGACGGGGAUAACUUCUGGAAACGGAUGCUAAUACCCGAUAUGCUGUGGAGUGAAAUGAAUUUCGCCUAAAGAUGAUCUUGCGUCUGAUUAGCUAGAUAGGGUGGUAAUGGCGCCCUAUGGCGACGAUCAGUAGCUGGUCUGAGAGGAUGGACAGCCACAUUGGGACUGAGACACGGCCCAAACUCCUACGGGAGGCAGCAGUGGGGAAUUUUCCGCAAUGGGCGAAAGCCUGACGGAGCGACGCUGCGUGAAGGAUGACGGCCUGAGGGUUGUAAACUUCUUUUCUCGAAGAAGAAUUAAUGACGGUAUUCGAGGAAUAAGCAUCGGCUAACUCUGUGCCAGCAGCCGCGGUAAGACAGAGGAUGCAAGUGUUAUUCGGAUUGAUUGGGCGUAAAGCGUCUGUAGGCGGUUUAGAAAGUCUUUUGUGAAAUACUUCAGCUCAACUGGGGCCCCGCAAAAGAAACUUCUAGACUUGAGGGGAGUAGAGGUACAGGGAAUUUCCGGUGGAGCGGUGAAAUGCGUAGAUAUCGGAAGGAACACCAAUAUGGCGAAGGCACUGUACUGGGCUUUACCUGACGCUAAGAGACGAAAGCUAAAGGAGUGAUUAGGAUUAGAUACCCUAGUAAUUUUAGCCGUAAACGAUGGAAACUCACUGCCGAGCCGGUAUUCGGAGCGGUGGUCAAGCUAACGCGUGAAGUUUCCCGCCUGGGGAUUACGCAUGCAAAUGUGAAACUCAAAGGAAUUGACGGGGACCCGCACAAGCGGUGGAGUAUGUGGUUUAAUUCGAUGCAACGCGAAAAACCUUACCAAGGUUUGAAAUCAUUCUAAAACUCUUUGAAAAAAGAGCCUCCUUCGGGAUAGAAUGACAGGUGGUGCAUGGCUGUCGUCAG
rnacentral:rRNA from 1 species